AUGUCCAGUCUGACAGUCCCUGUCUCCAGGUGUGGCAGUGGACACACAGGCAGGACGCAUAUAAACAGCCGGCCAUUAAAGGGGACGCUUCCCAAGAAGGACUCGGUCCUAAAGGCAGGACGGGACAUG
rnacentral:snoRNA from 1 species